ACAGAGGCGGCAAGCGUUGUUCGGAAUUAUUGGGCGUAAAGAGCAUGUAGGCGGCUCUGUAAGUCGGUUGUGAAAGCCUUCCGCUUAACGGAAGAAUGGCGGUCGAAACUGCAUGGCUUGAGUGCGGGAGGGGAGAGUGGAACUUCUGGUGGAGCGGGGAAAAGCGGAGAUAUCAGAAGGAAAGGCGGCGGGGAAAGCGAGUCUCUAGACCGUAACUGACGCUGAGUGUGCGAAAGCUAGGGGAGCAAACGG
rnacentral:rRNA from 1 species